ACUUGCUGUUGCUGUUAUUUUCUCCAGAGAAUUCUAAGAGAUUACAAAGACCUGAGGAGACUUUUUGAAAAAAUGCGCAUAAACUGAUUGGAUUCAACAAUCUAACUUCCUCUGGGGCUACUGAAAUGAGACUGCCCCACCUCUUCCCUGGAGGCUUCCAGCUCUGUCAUGGCCCUCCAGUGACUUCCUGUUGACAGUGUCCUUGGGAUGGAAUCACUCCAUCAACUCCUCUAAAGGACAGCGGGCUCCCGAGGCCCGGGGCGAUGGGCGCCGCCGCUGCAUGGACCCGCGCUGCUGCGCGUCAGGCUCCUGUUAGACUUGUGCCUGCUCUGGCGGGGAGGAAACUGCUCUCUGGAAGUACGCUCGUGACCUGUGCAAAAUGAAUUCACUUUUCCACGGCACCAGAGGACCAUUAGUAAAUUCAUUGCCCAGAAUACCCCGCUGGUGUCCUGGAGGAUGGAAUUGGUGUCACAUGGAUGCAGUGGUGACAGCGGACCUGCUCCACUGUGCCUUCCAGUUGCCUUUGGGGUCAGGUCCCAAUGCUGAGCACGCCCACGAGCGCUGCUGGUCAGCCUCUUUUCCAGCCAUCCUCCACAGGCCCCCAGGGUUCCU
rnacentral:lncRNA from 1 species